CUCGUGUUAGCUUAAACAGACCAGUCUCCACAAACAGCACCCGUUCACGAGUAUGACAUACGUCUCAGCCAUCGCCUCCCUCAACCUUCAUUCGGGAAAGUGGCGACCCGAUCAACGACGCCACCGUAAGCAAAGACUUUUAAGCGAGCAUGACAUGUUCAAGCUACCGGCCUAUAUUAAUAUUAAAAUAGUAAUAA